rnacentral:rRNA from 1 species
CGGACGGGUGAGUAAUGUCUGGGAAACUGCCUGAUGGAGGGGGAUAACUACUGGGAACGGUAGCUAAUACCGCAUAACGUCGCAAGACCAAAGAGGGGGACCUUAGGGCCUCUUGCCAUCGGAUGUGCCCAGAUGGGAUUAGCUAGUAGGUGGGGUAACGGCUCACCUAGGCGACGAUCCCUAGCUGGUCUGAGAGGAUGACCAGCCACACUGGAACUGAGACACGGUCCAG